GGGACUGUAGCUUAGAGGUAGAAUGCUUGCCUAGCAAGCAUGAAGCCCUAGGUUUAAUUCCUCAGUACCA
rnacentral:tRNA from 1 species